rnacentral:rRNA from 1 species
AUUGAACGCUGGCGGAAUGCUUUACACAUGCAAGUCGAACGGCAGCACGGGGCAACCUGGUGGCGAGUGGCGAACGGGUGAGUAAUAUAUCGGAACGUGCCCAAUCGUGGGGGAUAACGUAGCGAAAGUUACGCUAAUACCGCAUACGAUCUACGGAUGAAAGCGGGGGAUCGCAAGACCUCGCGCGAAUGGAGCGGCCGAUAUCAGAUUAGGUAGUUGGUGGGGUAAAGGCUCGACCAAGCCAACGAUCUGUAGCUGGUCUGAGAGGACGACCAGCCACACCUGGAACUGAGGACACGGUCCAGACUCCUACGGGAGGCAGCAGUGGGGAAUUUUGGACAAUGGGCGCAAGCCUGAUCCAGCCAUUCCGCGUGCAGGAUGAAGGCCUUCGGGUUGUAAACUGCUUUUAUAUGGGAGCAAUAAGGUUUACGCGUAGACCGAUGAGAGUACCAUAUGAAUAAGCAUCGGCUAACUCCGUG